rnacentral:tRNA from 1 species
GGUUGUGGCUCAGUGGUAGCGUGCUUGCCCAGCAUGCGUGAGGCACUGGGUUCCAUCCUCAGAAUCA